AUUGAACGCUGGCGGCAGGCUUAACACAUGCAAGUCGAACGAGUGGCGGACGGGUGAGUAAUGCUUGGGAAUCUGGCUUAUGGAGGGGGAUAACGACGGGAAACUGUCGCUAAUACCGCGUACCAUAGGAUGAGCCCCAGUGGGAUUAGGUCGUUGGUUGGGUAAUGGCCUAACUAGCAGACGAUCUCUAGCUGGUCUGAGAGGAUGAUCAGCCAGACGGGGACUAAGUCACGGCCCAGACUCCUACGGGAGGCAGCAGUGGGGAAUUUUGGACAAUGGGCGCAAGCCUGAUCCAGCCAUGCCGCGUGUCUGAAGAAGGCCUUCGGGUUGUAAAGGACUUUUGUCAGGGAAGCGGUACCUGAAGAAUAAGCACCGGCUAACUACGUGCCAGCCGCCGCGGUAAUUC
rnacentral:rRNA from 1 species